ensembl:lncRNA
AUGGGUUUACUGAAGAAAAAGAGCUGCAGAAAGAUGGUCCAAAGAGUUAAUAUGUGGCGGAGAUGGAUCUUGAACCCAGCCAGUAUAGUGUAUAAAAUGUUUGUUAACAGACUCUCCACUGAAGCUCUGCCAUCAGGUCAUAGGACUGACAAUGACCACAGACCCAGGACAAAUGGCCGUUCAUGCAUCUGCCACUCAGAAGAGCGCGAGCCUCACAGAGUUUCAGAGGAGGCAUGCUGGUCAGGGGACCAGAGACAGAAGCUGAGAUGUGAAGAUGGUCAAACCGAUUGAGGCAAGGAAUGUCAAGGGCUUCCUGUGGCCCCACUGGGAGCCCAUCGGCAACACGAAUGACUCCCGCCAUGUGCAGCUCCUGAAUUCUUCCAGCCCUUCUGCAACAUGUAUCAUCGGGUACUCUUAGCCCAAGGCUUUGCAUAGUUCUCAAGUGUAGAACCUAACCUCAUUCUUCUCCAGGCUGGAUCUGUUCAACCAUCAGGCCCACCCUGUUGAAUACCACUUUGACCCUCCAAGAUAUGGUUCCAGAGGCACCCGCAGGAUUCCAGGUUUUGUCUCAGAAGCACGUGAUGGAUUUUCCCUCUGCUAUCCCUUUCUUGUCCCCAGUAGUCUCGUGGACUGACUUCUGGAUGAGCACCUCCUAAGUACCAGGUACUGUGAUCAUGUAACCCUAGAACGCCUCUGCGAAGGACUGACAUUGUCUGUGUUAUAGAUGAAGCAAUUGAAGUUCCAAGACAAUAGAAAACUCGUGAAAAAACCAUGCAUGCAGGAUCCCGGCCUAGGUUCAUGGCAUGCCAUCACAUACUCACUCCAGUUCAGGAAGCCCCCAGCCUGUGUUUCUCUGCUGUAAAAUGGAUUCAAUCAUGCCGAUCUCAUACAAUUGCUGUGAAAUUUCAAUGAGAAUCCCAUAAAGCCCUCAGCACAGCACCUGGACAAUGAGUGGGUGCUGGCUGACAGUAGCAAGAAAAGAGGCAUCCCCUCCUAGCCCUCCUAAGAAAUUACUGCUCAUUGCCUUGAGGGAAGAAACAGGGCAGGAAGGAAACGGAUGCUGAGCAUCCUUAGGAAUAUUCGGUUUCUUCUCCCUAUAUGAACUAAGUUGCUCCCCAAUUCCUGAGCCCUCGUGGCUCUGAUCAGGCAGGCACUUGUAGGUGAGAAUCCAGGCUGCACAAAAGCCUGAAGCAUUUGUUCGAGAAUUAAAAAGUCAGCCUGUGUGCCCCCCCCAUUAAAUUCCCUGUGGGUGAGCUGGUUAACAGUGGGGCCUCACGCGAUAAGCCAUUAAUCUCCGUGUGUAAUGCAAGUGCCGUACAACUUACUUCAACCCUAAUCUCCCAUGAGUUACAGCCUCUUCUGUGAUUCAUAAAACAAAUCAGUCACACCUCCCAGGCUCUCAUCUAUUUAUUACUGCUUUUUAAAUGCUCAGAGAGGGAGAAGCUGGAGGAUGUUAUUCAUCCCUUCCCCAGCCCAGCUGACCUGCAAGGAAAUGGACUCGACACCCUUCCUCGGGUCACAAACCAAGGUCAGUUGAAUUCUGAGGCUUAUAAGGAGCUGAUGGUUUUGCAUCCAUCCAAUAGGAACGACCUGGGCCUCCCAGAUGUUACAGUGGUAAAGAAUCCACCUGCCAAUGCAGUAGACAUGGUUUCAAUCCCUGGGUUGGGAAGAUCCCCUGGAAGAGGAAAUGGCCACCCAUUCCAGUACUCUUGUCCGGAAAAUCCCAUGGACAGAGGAGCCUGGUAGGCUGCAGUUCAUGGGGUCGCUAAGAGUCGGGCACGACUGAGUGACUUCACUUUCACUUUUCACUUUCAUGCAUUAGAGAAGGAAAUGGCAACCCACUCCAGUAUUCUUACCUGGAGAAUCCCAGGGACAGAGGAGCCAGUGGGCUGCCAUCUAUGGGGUCGCACAGAGUCCGACACAACUGAAGCGACUUAGCAGUAGCAGCAGCAACCCUAUUGCUAACCAUAGGGGCUGGAAGCAUAGUUCUGACUAAGUGGCAAGCCUGGUCAUCACUGACUUAAUCCUGGAAGGCUUGUCAGUGUUUUGGGUUUAAAUGACAGCCACAAAUUCUUUGACAAUCUUCCUACUGAGAGGUAGGUCCUUGCAAUCAGAGUGGUCUCUGAUUUCUCUCUCCUUGAAUCAGAGUGGACUUGUGACUAUUUCAAUCAAUAGCAUAUGGCGACUGGACUUCCCUGCUGGUCCCAUGGUUAAGAGUCUGCCUCUCAGUGCAGGGGACGUGAGUUCAGUCCCUGGUCGGGAAACUAAGAUCCCAUACGCCACAUGCCACAGGGCAACUAAACCCAUGCACUGCAACAAAAGAUGUCCCAACUAGGACCCGAUGCAGCCUAAAUAAAUUAAUUUAAAAAAAUAGAGUAUGGCGAGCA